rnacentral:rRNA from 1 species
UGGGGAAUAUUGCACAAUGGGCGAAAGCCUGAUGCAGCGACGCCGCGUGCGGGAUGAAGGCCUUCGGGUUGUAAACUGCUUUUAAUUGGGAGCAAGCGAGAGUGAGUGUACCUUUUGAAUAAGCACCGGCUAACUACGUGCCAGCAGCCGCGGUAAUACGUAGGGUGCAAGCGUUAUCCGGAAUUAUUGGGCGUAAAGAGCUCGUAGGCGGUUUGUCACGCCUGGUGUGAAAGUCCAUCGCUUAACGGUGGAUCUGCGCCGGGUACGGGCAGGCUAGAGUGCAGUAGGGGAGAUUGGAAUUCCCGGUGUAACGGUGGAAUGUGUAGAUAUCGGGAAGAACACCAAUGGCGAAGGCAGAUCUCUGGGCUGUUACUGACGCUGAGGAGCGAAAGCAUGGGGAGCGAACAGGAUUAGAUACCCGUGGUAGUCCAUGCCGUAAACGGU